rnacentral:tRNA from 1 species
GGCAGGCCUCAAGGUCGACGUGACCGGCAAGAGCAAGGGCAAGGGCUUCGCCGGUGUCAUGAAGCGUCACAACUUC